CGCUAUGGACGGUCGGUACCGUGCUCUUAUUGCAGCUAAGACGACUAGGGUUCGACUCCCUACAUGGCGU
rnacentral:tRNA from 1 species